CGACCAAUCUGAGGAUGUCACGUC
rnacentral:siRNA from 1 species